AACGCAACAAUGGUGGCCGCCUCUGCCAGUCGCUGCUACAGUCAGGUUGAUAAAUGAGAGUGAAGAUGAGAAACUGAGGGGCAUUAGCGUCAGUAGCGUUCCACCUUAACUCUCCUCCAUGUUAAGUCGCAUUCGGAGAUCGAUACUUCAGGCUGGCUGGACGGCGGCUAGCAGAACAAGCUACUGCUAACGAGCCCGGCUCGUUACAUCAUCCACAGGGAAGUUUAUCAGCGGCUGAUCAGCAGCAGCCUGAAGACUCUCAAAGGCUGUUUUGUCUUCCUCUCUCCUGAAACUCCCUGAACCCACAGAUUACCUUGCAGCCAUGGGUAUUUGUUUACCAUGGCCUGAAUUUGCAAGUCUUUAUCGUGGCUGCCUGCCAUCACUGAGGGGAAGUGCUUAACACAUGCUCAUAUCAGCGCCAGGAGAACUAAAAGGGAGCAGGUGCAUCACGGUGCACCGCCAAUGUUUCUACAAACUGAACGCUGGCUGUGGAGAAGGUGAGGUGGAGAGGGGUGAGACGAGGGGCGUUCGGUUGGUUGCAAUCUACAGCUACACCACUAGAUGCCACUAAAUCAUACGUACUGGAUCUAUGAAUGGCAAAUCGAAUGUCAGUGCCAACACACAGAGGCUCAUCAACGCUAACUGACAGGCAUGGAAUGUAAUGUAAGGUAGUACAUUUACGGUACAGUACUUUGAGGUUCUUGUACUUCACUUGAAUAUUCCAAUUUUCUUUCUACUUUCUACU